AGGUUUGGGUUAGGAAAGGUUCAAGGAGCUUCUGAUACUGGUGGACACUUGCCAAGCCUCUACUCUGUUCUUCCAGAUGAACAUAUCGAUAAUGGAGAACUUGGGCAAAAUGAACAGGUGCGUGAACAUGAUAGCACAUUUGUUCCAUGCUGAAAUUGGAGAAGAUGGAAAUGUUGUUGGAGCAAGAACUGUUGGCUCAUCAAAAGCUAUGAUGCUGGCAGGACUUGCAUUCAAGAAGUGGCAGAACAAGCAUAAGGCAAAGAGACUUGAGGCAUCAAACCUAUCUUUGGUGCUACAUCUUGGAUUGAGGAAUCCAUGGCCUUGAUUGUCCUUUAUCUUGGAGCUACAAGAGCAAGUGUGAAGCUACAAGAGCAAGUGUGAAAUUUCAAUUAGCUAUCAAACGUUCCCUUGUAAACCCUCUGUUACACUCUGGCAAAGUGCAAAAAUUUGCCACAAGCUAAACCUCUAGUUUUUUAGUGAUUUUGUUUAGGUCAUCAUUAGCCUAUGUAUUUUAUUUUAUAUAUUUACAUCAUAAUUGUCAAUAA